CGCUGCGUGGCAGAGUGGGAAUGCACCAUGAUCUACCUCGUGUAGGCAUUGGACUUCGCUGGUUCGAUCCCAGCCGCAGCAA